rnacentral:rRNA from 1 species
AGCGAACGCUGGCGGCAGGCCUAACACAUGCAAGUCGAACGGACCCUUCGGGGUUAGUGGCGGACGGGUGAGUAACACGUGGGAACGUGCCUUUAGGUUCGGAAUAGCUCCUGGAAACGGGUGGUAAUGCCGAAUGUGCCCUUCGGGGAAAGAUUUAUCGCCUUUAGAGCGGCCCGCGUCUGAUUAGCUAGUUGGUGAGGUAACGGCUCACCAAGGCGACGAUCAGUAGCUGGUCUGAGAGGAUGACCAGCCACACUGGGACUGAGACACGGCCCAGACUCCUACGGGAGGCAGCAGUGGGGAAUCUUGCGCAAUGGGCGAAAGCCUGACGCAGCCAUGCCGCGUGAAUGAUGAAGGUCUUAGGAUUGUAAAAUUCUUUCACCGGGGACGAUAAUGACGGUACCCGGAGAAGAAGCCCCGGCUAACUUCGUG